GAUGAACGCUGGCGGCGUGCCUAAUACAUGCAAGUCGAGCGAACAGACGAGGAGCUUGCUCCUCUGACGUUAGCGGCGGACGGGUGAGUAACACGUGGAUAACCUACCUAUAAGACUGGGAUAACUUCGGGAAACCGGAGCUAAUACCGGAUAAUAUAUUGAACCGCUUGGUUCAAUAGUGAAAGACGGUUUUGCUGUCACUUAUAGAUGGAUCCGCGCCGCAUUAGCUAGUUGGUAAGGUAACGGCUUACCAAGGCAACGAUGCGUAGCCGACCUGAGAGGGUGAUCGGCCACACUGGAACUGAGACACGGUCCAGACUCCUACGGGAGGCAGCAGUAGGGAAUAUUCCGCAAUGGGCGAAAGCCUGACGGAGCAACGCCGCGUGAGUGAUGAAGGUCUUCGGAUCGUAAAACUCUGUUAUUAGGGAAGAACAAAUGUGUAAGUAACUAUGCACGUCUUGACGGUACCUAAUCAGAAAGCCACGGCUAACUACGUG
rnacentral:rRNA from 1 species